CCUCAAAAAAGAUACACAGUUAGUUUGACAGGAUCUAUUUUCCAUAACUGCAUGUUGAUUUGCAUUAAUCACAUUACCCUUCUAUAGUUCUUUAUUCAUCGAGUCCUUUAUCAGCCACUCCAUUAUCUUGUCCAGGAUCGAUGUCAGGCUGAAAGGCCUAUAAUUACACAGGUCAUCCCAAUUACUCUUUUUAAAAAUUGGCACAAUAUUCACUUUCUUCCAGUCUUCUGGAACUUCCGCAGUCCUCCAAGCCUUAUUGAAAAUCAACAUUAAUGGUCCAGUAAGCUUCUCAACCAGCUCUUUUAAAAC